CCUUGUACACACCGCCCGUCAAGUCAUGGGAGCCGGGAACGGCCGAAGUCGCCCCACCUCAGGGGUGCCUACGCCGGGCUCGGUGACUGGGACU
rnacentral:rRNA from 1 species